UCUUUCGUUGGCCCCAAACACUUCGUGUU
rnacentral:sRNA from 1 species